rnacentral:tRNA from 1 species
GCGUCCUUAGCUCAGUUUGGAUAGAGCAUCUGGCUUCGAACCAGAGGGUCGGGGGUUCGAGUCCCUCAGGGCGCGCCA